CGAGAGCGGAGAAACCGGAGCGGGCCAGGCCGGCAAGGGAGGAGGUGGACCGGGAGAGACGCCGAGGGAAGACCGGGCAGCGCGCGCGACUACCGGAGGGUACAGGCCUGGGGCUGGCGAAACGGGGAAAGGGAAGAUCGGAAGGUUUGAAGGCGGAAGAAGAUCCGAUCUUCCAAAAAAAAUCACUUCAAGUCUUUUUUCUUUUCCACCUCAUUUGAAACACAAACGAAAAAUAAAAUCUUCCUUUUAAUUGACAAUGCCAUCCAACGCAGCGACUGCCAAUCCUGCAUUCAAAACUUCCGACUUGGACUGUGACGCAGCAACGAAAAAAACGAGUGCAGGGCAGGCGGAGCAGGAAGUGAAGGACGCCUCACAGGAAGUGAGUGUGAAGAGCACUCCAGCACGCAGAGUGGGUCGGCCGGCCAGAAAACGCAAAGCUGUGAACAGCUGCGACUCGGCGAAAGAGGGGAAGGGAGGCGGAGUUGAACGGCGAGGCUGAGAACGGGAUCUCCCAGGGGUGCUUUGCAGGAGGAGCGUAGCCCGAGCCCCACGGCGGCGCUGCAGAACGGCACGGCCAGUUCGCCCGAGCAGGAGGGCUCGUCUCCGCGCAAGAAACGCGGGACGCCGGAAACUAGAG